rnacentral:rRNA from 1 species
GACGAACGCUGGCGGCGUGCUUAACACAUGCAAGUCGAACGGAAAGGCCCUGCUUGUGUUGGGCGCUCGAGUGGCGAACGGGUGAGUAACACGUGAGUAACCUGCCCCUGACUUUGGGAUAACGUCAGGAAACUGGGGUUAAUACCGGAUAGGGGCUUCGGCUGCAGGGUGGGGGUUGGAAAGUUUCGGCGGAUGGGGAUGGACUCGCGGCUUAUCAGCUUGUUGGUGGGGUAGUGUCUUACCGAGGCUUUGACGGGUAGCCGGGCUGCGAGGGUGACCGGCCACAUUGGGGCUGCGGUACGGCCCGGACUCCUACGGGAGGCAGCAGUGGGGAAUAUUGCACAAUGGGCGGAAGCCUGAUGCAGCAACGCCGCGUGCGGGAUGACGGCCUUCGGGUUGUAAGCCGCUUUCGCCUGUGACGAAGCGUGGGGGCCGGUGAUAGGGAAAGAGGCACCGGCUAACUCCGU